UACAGAGGGGGCAAGCGUUGUUCGGAAUUACUGGGCGUAAAGGGCGCGUAGGCGGCCCGCUAAGUCGAACGUGAAAUCUCCGAGCUCAACUCGGGAACUGCGUCCGAUACUGGCGGGCUUGAAUCCGGGAGAGGGAUGCGGAAUUCCAGGUGUAGCGGUGAAAUGCGUAGAUAUCGUAAGGAAGACCAGUGGCGAAGGCGGGUCUCUGGACAGUUCCUGACGCUGAGGCACGAAGGUCAGGGGAGCAAACGGG
rnacentral:rRNA from 1 species